rnacentral:rRNA from 1 species
GACAGAGGUGCCGAGCGUUAGGCGGAAUCACUGGGCUUAAAGCGUGUGUAGGCGGAUUCCUAAGUACCUUGUGAAAUCCCAUGGCUCAACCAUGGAACUGCUUGGUAUACUGGGUGUCUUGAGCCAGCUAGGGGCUACCGGAACAAAUGGUGGAGCGGUGAAAUGCGUAGAUAUCACUUGGAACGCCAAUGGUGAAAACAGGUAGCUGGGGCUGUGCUGACGCUGAGACACGAAAGCCAGGGGAGCGAACGGG